UACAGAGGAGGCAAGCGUUGUUCGGAAUUACUGGGCGUAAAGGGCGCGUAGGCGGCCUUCUAAGUCGAACGUGAAAUCCCCGGGCUCAACCCGGGAACUGCGUCCGAUACUGGAAGGCUUGAAUCCGGGAGAGGGAUGCGGAAUUCCAGGUGUAGCGGUGAAAUGCGUAGAUAUCUGGAGGAACACCGAUGGCGAAGGCGGCAUCCUGGACCGGCAUUGACGCUGAGGCGCGAAAGCCAGGGGAGCAAACGGG
rnacentral:rRNA from 1 species